rnacentral:rRNA from 1 species
GACGAACGCUGGCGGCGUGCUUAACACAUGCAAGUCGAACGGAAAGGCCCUGCUUUUGUGGGGUGCUCGAGUGGCGAACGGGUGAGUAACACGUGAGUAACCUGCCCUUGACUUUGGGAUAACUUCAGGAAACUGGGGCUAAUACCGGAUAGGAGCUCCUGCUGCAUGGUGGGGGUUGGAAAGUUUUGGCGGUUGGGGAUGGACUCGCGGCUUAUCAGCUUGUUGGUGGGGUAGUGGCUUACCAAGGCUUUGACGGGCAGCCGGCCUGAGAGGGUGACCGGCCACAUUGGGACUGAGAUACGGCCCAGACUCCUACGGGAGGCAGCAGUGGGGAAUAUUGCACAAUGGGCGGAAGCCUGAUGCAGCAACGCCGCGUGCGGGAUGACGGCCUUCGGGUUGUAAACCGCUUUCGCCUGUGACGAAGCGUGAGUGACGGUAAUGGGUAAAGAAGCACCGGCUAACUACGUG